CCUACGGGUGGCAGCAGUGAGGAAUAUUGGUCAAUGGACGGAAGUCUGAACCAGCCAUGCCGCGUGCAUGAAGACGGCUCUAUGAGUUGUAAACUGCUUUUGUACAAGGGUAAACCUGAAUACGUGUAUUCAGCUGACCGUACUGUACGAAUAAGGAUCGGCUAACUCCGUGCCAGCAGCCGCGGUAAUACGGAGGAUCCAGGCGUUAUCCGGAUUUAUUGGGUUUAAAGGGAGCGUAGGCGGAUUGAUAAGUUAGAGGUGAAAUGUCCGGGCUCAACUCUGGAACUGCCUUUAUGACUGUGUAUCUAGAGAGUAGAUGCGGUAGGCGGAAUGUAUGGUGUAGCGGUGAAAUGCGUAGAGAUCAUACAGAACACCGAUUGCGAAGGCAGCUUACCAAUCUAUAUCUGACGUUGAGGCACGAAAGCGUGGGGAGCAAACAGGAUUAGAUACCCCUGUAGUC
rnacentral:rRNA from 1 species